AGGAUUGCGCAGCACAUGUACUAAAAUUGGAACGAUACAGAGAAGAUUAGCUUGGCCCCUGUGCAAGGAUGACACACAAAUUCGUGAAGCGUUCCAUUAAAAA
rnacentral:snRNA from 1 species